rnacentral:misc_RNA from 1 species
UGAUUCUUGAAGAGAUUUCCGAAAAUGCAAACAAACACCAUAUUUAAACAAUUCUAGAAGUGGGAUGCUAAGAGGAAAUGCAUCCAUUCUGUCUCUAAAUUGAGAAAUAAACCCUUCAGAUAAUCAUUCAAACUCUACUUAAUUCCAUAUAUUUUCCUCAUUGACAGCUUACGCAGCUCAAUUAUACGAAAUGCCAGGCACUGACUUGGCUUCUGAUCCAAAGUCAGAUUGUGAAAACACAGUUUCAAGUGAAACAUUGCACGACUCCCAGAUUUCCCAUCUUGACAAAAACAAGCAUUUAAACCAACUCUAAGAUCCAGAUCUCCAAAGA